rnacentral:rRNA from 1 species
GUAGGUGGCGAGCGUUGUCCGGAUUUACUGGGUGUAAAGGGCGUGCAGCCGGGCAUGCAAGUCAGAUGUGAAAUCUCAGGGCUUAACCCUGAAACUGCAUUUGAAACUGUAUGUCUUGAGUGCCGGAGAGGUAAUCGGAAUUCCUUGUGUAGCGGUGAAAUGCGUAGAUAUAAGGAAGAACACCAGUGGCGAAGGCGGAUUACUGGACGGUAACUGACGGUGAGGCGCGAAAGCGUGGGGAGCGAACAGGAUUAGAUACCCUGGUAGUCCACGCUGUAAACGAUGGAUACUAGGNGUGCGGGGA